GUGCUCCCCCGCCAAUUCCCUUAAGUUUCAAUCUUGCGAUCGUACUCCCCAGGCGGCCCAUUUAACACCUUCGCUACGGCACCGCAGAACCGCGAAGGUUCCGCGACACCAAAUGGGCAUCGUUUACAGCGUAGACUACCGGGGUAUCUAAUCCCGAUCGCUCCCUACGCUUUCGCCCCUCACUGUCAGACCCGUUCCAGAUGGGCGCCUUCGCCACAGGUAGUCCUGUAUGGAUUAAAGGAUUUUACCCCUACCCGUACAGUACUCCCAUCCUCUCCCGGUCUCAAGCUCGAUAGGAUCUCUAGCACUUUCGACAGUUUGCUGCCGAAUUUCACCAGAGACACACCAAGCCAGCUACGGGCGCUUUAGGCCCAAUAAACGUGACUACCCCUCGUGGCGCGGUUAUUACCGCGGCGGCUGGCAACCGUCUUACCCACCACUUAUUCCUCCACCUUUUUACAGUGAAGAAAAGGCACCGCAAUGCGAUGCCACUCAGGAUUCCCUCGUCAGACUUUCAUCCAUUGCGAAGUUUUCUCGCCUGCUGCGCCCCGUAGGGCCUGGCUUCAUGUCUCAGAAGCCAUCUCCGGGCUAUCGCUCUCACGACCCGUACGGAUUACUGGCUUGUUGAGCAAUUACCUCAACAACGACCUAAUCCGCCGCAGUCCCAUCCUUGGGUACAUUGCUGCUUUCGGUGAAAGUGCGUUCCAGCAUCCAUCACCUAUCGGAUAUUAUGCUCAGUUUCCCAAGAUUAUUUCCGUCCUAAGGGCAGGUUAACUACGUGUUACUGAGC
rnacentral:rRNA from 1 species